GUCAAUCAUUUGGGCAUCGGUCAUGAGGAAGACGGUGCCGACGUCCUUCACACCAGCUUUGAUGCAGAGAGACGCCAGGUCACUCUAGGUGAUGGGAGAGGAGGAAGAGUGACAGCUGAAAUUCAACAACGCUUGGGCUUAAUGAACUCACACGUGAGCCAUGGCGUCCUCAAACAACACCAGGUUCAUGGUGGCGUUGACCUGGUUGUGUCUGUCCAUCGCUUCCAGCAGAGUUUUGUUGAGUCCAAUCAAGGACUGGACAGCGCUGUACCUGGACUCCUCCAGCCCGCCAGCAAAAUGGCAGUACAGGUUCAACUUCUGGGUCUGCUCCAGAACUUCGUCGCUGUCCUUGGUCGGACACAAACAGAGCAUGGAGGUCGGCUGAAGUUUAAAUAGCAGAGACUGUAAGUGAGGCUUAUGCACCUGCAGCCGUGGAUCAAUGGUGAAGCUGCCGGCGGUGGGGUUCAUGC